rnacentral:rRNA from 1 species
UGCUUAACACAUGCAAGUCGAACGGGAAACAUUUUAUUGAAGCUUCGGCAGAUUUAGCUUGGUUUCUAGUGGCGGACGGGUGAGUAACGCGUGGGUAACCUGCCUUAUACUGGGGGAUAACAGCCAGAAAUGACUGCUAAUACCGCAUAAGCGCACAGGACCGCAUGGUUCGGUGUGAAAAACUCCGGUGGUAUAAGAUGGACCCGCGUUGGAUUAGCUAGUUGGCAGGGCAGCGGCCUACCAAGGCGACGAUCCAUAGCCGGCCUGAGAGGGUGAACGGCCACAUUGGGACUGAGACACGGCCCAGACUCCUACGGGAGGCAGCAGUGGGGAAUAUUGCACAAUGGGGGAAACCCUGAUGCAGCGACGCCGCGUGAAGGAAGAAGUAUCUCGGUAUGUAAACUUCUAUCAGCAGGGAAGAUAAUGACGGUACCUGACUAAGAAGCCCCGGCUAACUACGUGCCAGCAGCCGCGGUAAUACGUAGGGGGCAAGCGUUAUCCGGAUUUACUGGGUGUAAAGGGAGCGUAGACGGCGCAGCAAGUCUGAUGUGAAAGGCAGGGGCUUAACCCCUGGACUGCAUUGGAAACUGCUGUGCUUGAGUGCCGGAGGGGUAAGCGGAAUUCUAAGUGUAGCGGUGAAAUGCGUAGAUAUUAGGAGGAACACCAGUGGCGAAGGCGGCUU